rnacentral:sRNA from 1 species
GCCAGGUACUUUGGUGCACAUCUGUAGUCCCACCACUUGGGAGGCUGAGGCAAAGGAUCACUUGAGCCCAGGAAUACGAGGCCAGCCUGGGCAACAAAGCAGGACCCUAUCUCUA